AUGCAAAUGCUCGUAAUCUGGAUUGUGUGCGGGGCAUGCCUGACAGAUUCGAUUCAUGGAAAUUCUAUCACUCAGACGUUGUUGUCAGUCGUGAAAACAGAAGGAGAGACGGUGACUUUCCGCUGUACCUAUGAGACUACAGCGGAGUACCACAAUUUACCCUGGUACCUGCAACAUGCAGGCGAAAGGCCCAGGUACAUACUGCAGAAAUAUUACAAUGGCAAUGAGGAUAAAGCAGAUUUUGCCAAAAUUCGCUUCUCUGGCCAGCUCCAGCAGCAAAGCAAAAUCACCAGUUUAACUAUCUCCCAGCUGCAGCUGAGCGACUCUGCAGUUUAUUACUGUAUUCUUCAAGUGCACAGUGAUGCAAACCAGUUAAACCCUCGUACAAAAAUUCAGGCUUCUGUGCAGAUCUCGAUUUUACCCGCCGCAACUGGAUACUUCAGCACCCUGCGUGCUGUUUGUGGUUUUCCACCACUCUGA